rnacentral:rRNA from 1 species
GGGUUGUGAGGUUAAGCGACUAAGCGUACACGGUGGAUGCCCUGGCAGUCAGAGGCGAUGAAGGACGUGCUAAUCUGCGAAAAGCGCCGGCGAGGUGAUAUGAACCUUUGACCCGGCGAUGUCCGAAUGGGGAAACCCAGUGCAAUCCGUUGCACUAUCGUUAACUGAAUACAUAGGUUAACGAGGCGAACCGGGGGAACUGAAACAUCUAAGUACCCCGAGGAAAAGAAAUCAACCGAGAUUCCCCCAGUAGCGGCGAGCGAACGGGGAGCAGCCCGGAGUCUGAAUCAGCUUGUGUGUUAGUGGAACGGUCUGGAAAGUCCGACGGUACAGGGUGAUAGUCCCGUACACGAAAGCACACUUGCUGUGAACUCGAAGAGUAGGGCGGGACACGUGGUAUCCUGUCUGAAUAUGGGGGGACCAUCCUCCAAGGCUAAAUACUCCUGACUGACCGAUAGUGAACCAGUACCGUGAGGGAAAGGCGAAAAGAACCCCGGCGAGGGGAGUGAAAAAGAACCUGAAACCGUGUACGUACAAGCAGUGGGAGCCUCUUUAUGGGGUGACUGCGUACCUUUUGUAUAAUGGGUCAGCGACUUAUAUUCUGUAGCAAGGUUAACCGUAUAGGGGAGCCGAAGGGAAACCGAGUCUUAACUGGGCGUUAAGUUGCAGGGUAUAGACCCGAAACCCGGUGAUCUAGCCAUGGGCAGGUUGAAGGUUGGGUAACACUAACUGGAGGACCGAACCGACUAAUGUUGAAAAAUUAGCGGAUGACCUGUGGCUGGGGGUGAAAGGCCAAUCAAACCGGGAGAUAGCUGGUUCUCCCCGAAAGCUAUUUAGGUAGCGCCUCGUGAACUCAUCUUCGGGGGUAGAGCACUGUUUCGGCUAGGGGGCCAUCCCGGCUUACCAACCCGAUGCAAACUACGAAUACCGAAGAAUGUUAUCACGGGAGACACACGGCGGGUGCUAACGUCCGUCGUGAAGAGGGAAACAACCCAGACCGCCAGCUAAGGUCCCAAAGUCAUGGUUAAGUGGGAAACGAUGUGGGAAGGCACAGACAGCCAGGAUGUUGGCUUAGAAGCAGCCAUCAUUUAAAGAAAGCGUAAUAGCUCACUGGUCGAGUCGGCCUGCGCGGAAGAUGUAACGGGGCUAAACCAUGCACCGAAGCUGCGGCAGCGACACUAUGUGUUGUUGGGUAGGGGAGCGUUCUGUAAGCCGUUGAAGGUGUCCUGUGAGGGGUGCUGGAGGUAUCAGAAGUGCGAAUGCUGACAUAAGUAACGAUAAAGCGGGUGAAAAGCCCGCUCGCCGGAAGACCAAGGGUUCCUGUCCAACGUUAAUCGGGGCAGGGUGAGUCGACCCCUAAGGCGAGGCCGAAAGGCGUAGUCGAUGGGAAACAGGUUAAUAUUCCUGUACUUGGUGUUACUGCGAAGGGGGGACGGAGAAGGCUAUGUCAGCCGGGCGACGGUUGUCCCGGUUUAAGCAUGUAGGCGGAGGUUCCAGGUAAAUCCGGUACCUUAUUAACGCUGAGGUGUGAUGACGAGGCACUACGGUGCUGAAGUGAUAAAUGCCCUGCUUCCAGGAAAAGCCUCUAAGCAUCAGGUAACACGAAAUCGUACCCCAAACCGACACAGGUGGUCAGGUAGAGAAUACCAAGGCGCUUGAGAGAACUCGGGUGAAGGAACUAGGCAAAAUGGUGCCGUAACUUCGGGAGAAGGCACGCUGAUAUGUAGGUGAAGUCCCUGCGGACGGAGCUGAAAUCAGUCGAAGAUACCAGCUGGCUGCAACUGUUUAUUAAAAACACAGCACUGUGCAAACACGAAAGUGGACGUAUACGGUGUGACGCCUGCCCGGUGCCGGAAGGUUAAUUGAUGGGGUUAGCGGCAACGCGAAGCUCUUGAUCGAAGCCCCGGUAAACGGCGGCCGUAACUAUAACGGUCCUAAGGUAGCGAAAUUCCUUGUCGGGUAAGUUCCGACCUGCACGAAUGGCGUAAUGAUGGCCAGGCUGUCUCCACCCGAGACUCAGUGAAAUUGAACUCGCUGUGAAGAUGCAGUGUACCCGCGGCAAGACGGAAAGACCCCGUGAACCUUUACUAUAGCUUGACACUGAACACUGGUCCUUGAUGUGUAGGAUAGGUGGGAGGCUUUGAAGCGUGGACGCCAGUCUGCGUGGAGCCAACCUUGAAAUACCACCCUUUAAUGGCUGGUGUUCUAACGUAGACCCGUAAUCCGGGUUGCGGACAGUGUCUGGUGGGUAGUUUGACUGGGGCGGUCUCCUCCCAAAGAGUAACGGAGGAGCACGAAGGUUGGCUAAUCCUGGUCGGACAUCAGGAGGUUAGUGCAAUGGCAUAAGCCAGCUUGACUGCGAGCGUGACGGCGCGAGCAGGUGCGAAAGCAGGUCAUAGUGAUCCGGUGGUUCUGAAUGGAAGGGCCAUCGCUCAACGGAUAAAAGGUACUCCGGGGAUAACAGGCUGAUACCGCCCAAGAGUUCAUAUCGACGGCGGUGUUUGGCACCUCGAUGUCGGCUCAUCACAUCCUGGGGCUGAAGUAGGUCCCAAGGGUAUGGCUGUUCGCCAUUUAAAGUGGUACGCGAGCUGGGUUUAGAACGUCGUGAGACAGUUCGGUCCCUAUCUGCCGUGGGCGCUGGAGAAUUGAGGGGGGCUGCUCCUAGUACGAGAGGACCGGAGUGGACGCAUCACUGGUGUUCGGGUUGUCAUGCCAAUGGCACUGCCCGGUAGCUAAAUGCGGAAGAGAUAAGUGCUGAAAGCAUCUAAGCACGAAACUUGCCCCGAGAUGAGUUCUCCCUGAGACUUUAAGUCUCCUGAAGGAACGUUGAAGACGACGACGUUGAUAGGUCGGGUGUGUAAGCGCAGCGAUGCGUUGAGCUAACCGAUACUAAUGAACCGUGAGGCUUAACCUUACAACGCCGAAGCUGUU